rnacentral:rRNA from 1 species
UGGACCUCAGAUCAGGCAAGAUCACCCGCUGAGUUUAAGCAUAUCACUAAGCGGAGGAAAAGAAACUAACGAGGAUUCCCUUA